GCAGCUACACAUGCAGUCGAGGGGUAGAGGAAGCUUGCUUCCUUGAGACCGGCGCACGGGUUGCGUAACGCGUAUGCAAUCUGCCUUGUACUGAGGGAUAGCCCAGAGAAAUUUGGAUUAAUACCUCAUAGCAUUAUGAAAUCGCAUGGUUUUAUAAUUAAAGUUCCAACGGUACAAGAUGAGCAUGCGUCCCAUUAGUUAGUUGGUAAGGUAACGGCUUACCAAGACGAUGAUGGGUAGGGGUCCUGAGAGGGAGAUCCCCCACACUGGUACUGAGACACGGACCAGACUCCUACGGGAGGCAGCAGUGAGGAAUAUUGGUCAAUGGACGCAAGUCUGAACCAGCCAUGCCGCGUGCAGGAUGAAGCAUCUAUGGUGUGUAAACUGCUUUUGUACGGGAAGAAACACUCCUACGUGUAGGAGCUUGACGGUACCGUAAGAAUAAGGAUCGGCUAACUCCGUGCCAGCAGCCGCGGUAAUACGGAGGAUCCAAGCGUUAUCCGGAAUCAUUGGGUUUAAAGGGUCCGUAGGCGGCUUUAUAAGUCAGUGGUGAAGGCCCAUCGCUUAACGAUGGAACGGCCAUUGAUACUGUAGAGCUUGAAUUACUUGGAAGUAGCUAGAAUAUGUAGUGUAGCGGUGAAAUGCUUAGAUAUUACAUGGAAUACCAAUUGCGAAAGCAGGUUACUACAAGUGGAUUGACGCUGAUGGACGAAAGCGUGGGAGCGAACAGAUUAGAUACCCUGGUAGUCCACGCCGUAACGAUGAUACUAGCUGUCGGAGCAUCUGAGUGCUAAGCGAAGUGAUAGUAU
rnacentral:rRNA from 1 species